UACGAAGGGGGCUAGCGUUGCUCGGAAUCACUGGGCGUAAAGCGCACGUAGGCGGAUUGCUAAGUCAGGGGUGAAAUCCUGGAGCUCAACUCCAGAACUGCCUUUGAUACUGAGAGGCUCGAGUCCGGGAGAGGUGAGUGGAACUGCGAGUGUAGAGGUGAAAUUCGUAGAUAUUCGCAAGAACACCAGUGGCGAAGGCGGCUCACUGGCCCGGUACUGACGCUGAGGUGCGAAAGCGUGGGGAGCAAACAGGG
rnacentral:rRNA from 1 species